rnacentral:rRNA from 1 species
GACGAACACUGGCGGCGUGCCUAAUACAUGCAAGUAGAACGCUGAAGAGAGGAGCUUGCUCUUCUUGGAUGAGUUGCGAACGGGUGAGUAACGCGUAGGUAACCUGCCUUGUAGCGGGGGAUAACUAUUGGAAACGAUAGCUAAUACCGCAUAACAAUGGCUGACACAUGUCAUUUAUUUGAAAGGGGCAAUUGCUCCACUACAAGAUGGACCUGCGUUGUAUUAGCUAGUAGGUGAGGUAAUGGCUCACCUAGGCGACGAUACAUAGCCGACCUGAGAGGGUGAUCGGCCACACUGGGACUGAGACACGGCCCAGACUCCUACGGGAGGCAGCAGUAGGGAAUCUUCGGCAAUGGGGGCAACCCUGACCGAGCAACGCCGCGUGAGUGAAGAAGGUUUUCGGAUCGUAAAGCUCUGUUGUAAGUCAAGAACGGGUGUGAGAGUGGAAAGUUCACACUGUGACGGUAGCUUACCAGAAAGGGACGGCUAACUACGUG